ACAAGGAAGAUGAGAGGGGAUGAUGGGAGGGAGGAGUUACAAAAGUAAAAAUUGAAAUCUAUUUGAAAUUGUUUUCACUUUUGUUACUACCCCCUCCCAUCCUCCCCUCUCAUCAUCUCUCACA
rnacentral:miRNA from 1 species